rnacentral:rRNA from 1 species
GACGGAGGAUGCAAGUGUUAUCCGGAAUCACUGGGCGUAAAGCGUCUGUAGGUGGUUAAAUAAGUCAACUGUUAAAUCUUGAGGCUUAACCUCAAAAUCGCAGUCGAAACUAUUAGACUAGAGUAUAGUAGGGGUAAAGGGAAUUUCCAGUGGAGCGGUGAAAUGCGUAGAGAUUGGAAAGAACACCGAUGGCGAAGGCACUUUACUGGGCUAUUACUAACACUCAGAGACGAAAGCUAGGGUAGCAAAGGGG